rnacentral:tRNA from 1 species
ACGCCGACGUCGCGUCGGCCAGCGUGACGCUGGUGCCGCUGCCGCCGGCGUCGAUCAGGGCGGCGACGCCGCUGCGGUGCAGUCCGGGGUUGGCGUUC